rnacentral:rRNA from 1 species
CCUACGGGUGGCAGCAGUAGGGCAUAUUGCUCAAUGGGGGAAAGCCUGAAGCAGCAACGCCGCGUGGAGGAUGAAGGUUUUCGGAUUGUAAACUCCUUUUGUUAGAGAAGAUAAUGACGGUAUCUAACGAAUAAGCACCGGCUAACUCCGUGCAAGAAGCCGCGGUAAUACGGAGGGUGCAAGCGUUACUCGGAAUCACUGGGCGUAAAGAGCGCGUAGGCGGGAUAGCAAGUCAGAUGUGAAAUCCUAGGGCUUAACCAUAGAACUGCAUUUGAAACUGUUAGUCUAGAGUAUGGGAGAGGUAGGUGGAAUUCUUGGUGUAGGGGUGAAAUCCGUAGAGAUCAAGAGGAAUACUCAUUGCGAAGGCGACCUGCUAGAACAUAACUGACGCUGAGGCGCGAAAGCGUGGGGAGCAAACAGGAUUAGAUACCCGGGUAGUC